UACAGAGGUCUCAAGCGUUGUUCGGAUUCAUUGGGCGUAAAGGGUGCGUAGGCGGCGCGGUAAGUCGGGUGUGAAAUCUCGGGGCUUAACUCCGAAACUGCAUUCGAUACUGCCGUGCUUGAGGACUGGAGAGGAGACUGGAAUUUACGGUGUAGCGGUGAAAUGCGUAGAUAUCGUAAGGAAGACCAGUGGCGAAGGCGGGUCUCUGGACAGUUCCUGACGCUGGAGGCACGGAAGGCCCAGGGGAGCAAAACGGG
rnacentral:rRNA from 1 species